UCCGUUAAAUUUUAGGUAUGUCCAAGGCCCAUUGGUUUCAAUCUCAACAAUUAGCCAUCUAAUUUCUCUUGGUCCAUCUACAAACAAUUGCAAAUUCUGAGCCAGUAUACAUUUUACAAAAGAUGUAUGCACAUGUCAUUAAAUAAAAGAAAAAAUACAUAUGUUCCUUAAAAAAAUACAUACACACCGCAGAAAAUAUUACACAAAAACUUUAAACUACGGAUAUUUCCUGACAGUACAUCUGCAAAGGACCACCAAAAUAGAAUAAACUAAAAAUACAAACUCCCAAUCCUAAUUCUGUCUAAGGGUGUGGGUAUUCCUUGGAUUUCUCGACGGAGAUCCGGCCAUCCCUGCUGAUGUUAUUGAAGAGAGAACCUUAUCCGCCAGUAUCAGGCCUCAACCCAUGGUCGACAUUGCCUGCGCGUGGACAAACCUUAAGACAGCCUGAAAAAAAAUCAAAAGUAUAGAGGAAAGAGGACCUGGUGGAGCGAGCGGCUCAUAGCAGCGCGGUAGUCAGAGAAUCCGGCGGUGAGGACUGCGUAGGCAACGUAUGCGGGCCCCCUGGCGAUAGAGGAUGGCAGCCUCCUAGCAGGGCGCAUCCGCAGCUGCUGGGCCCGGUGGCGGCUCUAUGCAUCCCCGCGGUUCAGCACGCCCACGAUGGGGUCGCUCGCUCCCUGCAGCGAUAUGGGCGCGACCUGCAUCGACGAGACCGGCUCCGCGUUGUGCACUAGGGGCUGGAUCGGGGAGUGGAGGCUAGAGGUGAGGAAAGGGGGUCGGGGAGUGGAGGUUAGAGGUGAGGGAAGGGGAUGUGGUAGUUGCCGCAAGUGUGCAGGGAGGAAGGACGCCCGUUGCCGCGCCGUUAUCCUCCCACGGUUGCCGUGGACUCGCGGAUCUCAGCCGGAUUUGGCCAGAGGAGGGGACACUACGGCGGGGCGGUGGGAGUGCAGGCAGCGCGGCCGGUUGAGGGGAAGCUGGGCACGGCGGGGAGGCGUCAGAACAGGAGGAUGUGUGCACGAGGGGAGGAGCCAGGAGGGGAGGAGGUGGGUACGGCGGGCUGGCGGCAUGAGAGGAAGAAGGUGGGUUGGUGCGGCGUGGGGGCGCUGGUCACGGGCGGAGAUAACGCGUGGGUGGGCUGAAGAACAAUCAAGAAAGAGG
rnacentral:lncRNA from 1 species